UGCUCGCAAAUGUAAAAUUUGACCUUAAGAAGAACAUACACACUUGGCAUUGUGGAAUAAAUAGGUAAAUGGGCUUGCAUUGGGCUCAGUAGAGAGAUUGAUUUUAAGACAGGCCUUGGUGGGAAAGCAACCAGAGAAACCCUAAUCCCUCAUUCAGCGAGCAAGAUGAUGAUGCGAAACAUGUUUGCUAAGUAUCCUGGCGGCAGAUGGACUCGCCAUUUCUCCACCUCGUCAGGCGAAAACUGUAGGUCAAAUGUGUGCUCUUAUGUUCCAAGUUUGGUCCAAAUUAAGAAGAAACCUCAACCUGACCGCAUUUAAAAAGACAGUCAUAUGCAGGAGGAGGCCAUAACGAGAAAACGGGAUGAUUAGUCUCACUUUACAAAGCCUAGUUUAUUAUGUUACAGUACAGAAUGACCAAGAAAUCUAUGACUUUUCUUAUUUUCUUUAUUUUGGUAUCUUUGUCGAGGAACUUGGAACUGAAUCUGCUUUGUUUCACAAAUCUUUUCAAUUUCCGGAUUAAUUGUUGAGAUGCUGGUUUUGAAGCUUAUGUGUGUAGAUUAUUACGAUUGACAGAAAUGAGAGAGUAGAAGUUUGUUAUGAAAGGUUAUCCUUUUUUUGAA